CCUACGGGGGCCAGCAGUGGGGAAUAUUGCACAAUGGGGGAAACCCUGAUGCAGCGACGCCGCGUGAGUGAAGAAGUAAUUCGUUAUGUAAAGCUCUAUCAGCAGGGAAGAAAAUGACGGUACCUGAGUAAGAAGCCCCGGCUAACUACGUGCCAGCAGCCGCGGUAAUACGUAGGGGGCAAGCGUUAUCCGGAUUUACUGGGUGGAAAGGGAGCGUAGACGGCAGUGCAAGUCUGGAGUGAAAGGCGGGGGCUCAACCCCCGGACUGCUCUGGAAACUGUACGGCUGGAGUGCAGGAGAGGUAAGUGGAAUUCCUAGUGUAGCGGUGAAAUGCGUAGAUAUUAGGAGGAACACCAGUGGCGAAGGCGGCUUACUGGACUGUAACUGACGUUGAGGCUCGAAAGCGUGGGGAGCAAACAGGAUUAGAUACCCUAGUAGUC
rnacentral:rRNA from 1 species